rnacentral:rRNA from 1 species
GAUGAACGCUGGCGGCGUGCCUAAUACAUGCAAGUCGAGCGAACAGACGAGGAGCUUGUUCCUCUGACGUUAGCGGCGGACGGGUGCGUAACACGUGGAUAACCUACCUAUAAGACUGGGAUAACUUCUGGAAACCGCAGCUAAUCCCCGAUAACAUAUUGAACCGCAUGGUUCAACAUUGAAAGACGGUCUUGCUGUCACUUAUAGAUGGAUCCGCUCCGCAUUAGCUAGUUGGUCAGGUAACGGCUUACCAAGGCAACGAUGCGUAGCCGACCUGAGAGGGUGAAAGGCCACACAGGAACGGAGACACGGUCCAGACACAUACGGAAGGCAGCAGGAGGGAAUGAACAGCGAUGAGCGAGAGGAAGACGGAGCAAGGCCGCGUGAGUGGGGAAGGGAGGCGGAACGGAAUACGAUGUGAUUAGGGAAGAACAAAAGAGGAAGGAACUAUACACGUCAUGAGAGUACCAAAUCAGAAAGCAACGGCUAACUACGUG